AUUUCUAGGAGCUGCGUGAGUCAGAAAGGCUUGAAAGGAGAGGUAAUAUUUCAGACCAGAUCUGAAAAUGAGUGGAUUAAGAGAGCUGGAGUAGCAGGGGUAACACAUUCCAGAGGUGCAGAGGCAAAGUUGUACAGGCAGGACUGUGCACGUAGAUGCAAAAGAGAGUGUGCCAACUAGUUUGACUGGUUCAGGUGGCAGAAGACUGGAAGAUAAGGCUGGGAAUUUCAGCUGGGACCAGAUUACAGAAAGUCUUACAAGCCAGGCUAAGCAGUUGGGACUUUGUAAGAACUUAGAUUUAUUGAAGACCUCUGACUUUGGAACUUGACACGGUGAAGGAUGGCUCUUUCAGAAGUCAGGAAAAUGCAAGAGACUGAAGUCAAUCAUCACAGUUGGCCUGAAGCCCAGGACUGGAAGAUGCAAGGGAAUAGAGAAGUUGCUACAAAAUGUCACAGCUUCUUCAGUUCACAGGGCUACAUCAAGAUAGAGAGAUUGGGGGCUGGAGCUCCGGCAUAGAAGGUAAAGCCACCACCUGCAGUGCCAGCAUCCCAUAUGGGCUCCGGUUCGAAUCCCGGCUGCUCCACUUCCAAUCCAGCGCUCUGGGAAAGCAGUAGAAGAUGGCCCAAGUCCUUGGGCCCCUGCCCCCAUGUUGAGACCCAGAAGAAGCUCCUGGCUCCUGGCUCCUGGCUUCAGACUGGUGCAGCUCUGGCUGUUUCUGCCAUCUGGGGAUUGAAUCAGCAGAUGGAAGACUUCUCUCUUCCUCUCUCUCUCUGCCUCUGCCUCUCUGUAACUUGGCCUUCAAAUAAAUAAAUAAAUCCAAAAAAAAAAAAAAAAAAGGAGAGAUGGUAAUUUGGCAUCUGUGACAGGACUGCUGUGAACUGCUUAGAGUGCUUUAUACUUCUGUGGGAAGUGAGGGGAUCCUGGAGGUCUGUACUUGUGAGUAGAUAGCGGGAGGGAGAAAACUAGAGCCUGCAGGCUGGCCACUUGUCUUGUAAAUAAAGGUUUAUUGGAACACAGCCAUGCCGACUCAUUUACAUAUUGUUUGUGCCUGCUUUCACACUCCAACAGCAGACUGAGGAGCUGGGACAGAGACCCUUACAGACCAGCCAAAAUAUUGCCCUCAAAGUAAAGGUAAAUAGAAAUAAAACAAAAUCUUAAAUGUAUUCUGAAAGCAGAGCCAAGGCCCUUUCUGAAAAAUAAGCACUGAAAUGUAUUUGUAAUGGUGAAAACUAAUUUUUUUCCAGAAAUUUGAAAUUACACCUACUUAAGUGGACUUUUCCCUUGACUCUUUAUGGUCUAGUAUGAAACGGUCAGAUCUGUGCUGUUCUCUUGACCUUUGAUCAAAUAAGCCUGUUUAGGAAAAUUGUAUAUUCCUAUUCCACUGGGCAAAGGAAUUUGUAACAUUUGAUUGGCACAAUAAAUCAUUACUUCUAAUGAAGCACAUUUUUUUAAAUCCUUCUUUGUUCUAAGCAAGCUCCUCUGUGAAUUUCAGCACAGUCAGGAUCCUCAUUUGGAAUUCACUGGGGUUGCUGCUGCAGAGCCACGUUGACCUGAAUGAAGAGAGGCUGGCGUAUAGUAUAGACCCGGAGUUCUGUGUUUAUCAAGCAAGUGAAGAGUAAACAUCCCUUCUCUCUUAACUGGUGGUUGUUGGGAGAGGAUACAGACAAAUGCUGAUUCUUUGACUUCCUAAAUUGUAUUGCCAUUUUCUUUCUUAUACGUUUGAAAUCUCAUUUCCUUAUCAUCAUUUGCAUUUAUAAAAUGUUUCAUGGGUUUAGUGUGUUUUCAGAACUCUAUCAUUUGAUAACUGUAUCAAUUCAGAAGUUCUUUUCUUCCUACAUUUCAUCAAUAAGGAAACUGAGGCUCAGAGUCAGUAAAUCUUAGUUUCACUGAGGAGAGGACCAACAGGAACAAAUGUUCACCACACAGCCUCACAACCUUAAGCCAGAUCUCAAACCUUGAUGUUUAAACUAUAAGUCCACGACCUGCCUCCUUAGCACAGUAGGCAGCAUAUCAGUUUCACAAUCAUAAACUGUAAGUCCACGAUGGUCUGAAUAUUUAUGUCUUCUUCCCCACCCAAAUUCAUGUGUGCAAACUUCAUUCCCAAUGUGAUCAUAGUAAGAGGUGGGAUCGGGGCCGGCACUGUGGCAUAGUGGGUAAAGCCACCGCCUGCAGUGCAGGCAUCCCAUAUGGAUGCCAGCUCAAG